GGAGUGCAGUGGCGUGAUCUCAGCUCACUGCAACCUCCCCGCUAUGCUGGGGAGUCUUAGGGUUAGCUCAGGGCUAUGGCUGAAAUGUUUGCCUUCUGCCCCUGCCAAGUUCAUAUGUUGAAACCUCAACUGGUGUGACGGUAUUUGAAUAUGGGGCCUUGGGGAGGUAAUUAGGUCAAAAGGGUGGAGCCCGUGUAGAUGGAUGAAAGCCCCUAUAAAAAGACAAGAGAGAGCUUGCUUCCGCUCCGCUCUCCACCAGUAAGGAUACAACAAGGAGAGGCCGCCUACAAGCCAGGAAGACAAUCGUUCAGUAGCCUUCAGAUCCGCCAACACCUUGAUCCUGGGCUUGCGGCUGCCAGACCUGUGAGAAAGCGAUGCCCAUUGUUUAAGCCCCUGGUCUUUGAUCUGUUACCGCAGCGCGAGCUGACCACGCACUCAGUGUGAGGCGAUGACCUUUUUCUCAACCAUGCGCAAGUGGUAUUUCUGCGUGCUUCAAAUAUCACAGGCCGGAUUGUCAGGAAACCAAGGAGGGGCCUUUUGGAAGAGAAUGAUGCUGAGCAUCCGGGUCCCUGGACAGCCAGCAGCCCUGAGGCAGACAGAAGUUUGGACAACUCAGGACAGGGAGCUUGGAGGGCAGCCCCUACAUGUCGGAGUGGUCCCUACCUGUGUUGCCUCAACUCUUCCUUCAAGGCAAGAGCCGCUAAGGACAGUCAGGACAUCCUACCGCCCAAGGCUGUUGAGCUCGGCCGGCCAAGGACUACAGGAAGGAUGGCUGGGGAGGCCUCAGGAAACUUACAGUCACAGCGGAAGGCAAAGAGGAAGCAGGCAGCGGCUUCGUGGCAGGAGCAGGAGGAAGGCGGUGGGGAGGUGCUACAUACUUUUAAACAACUGGAUCUUGUGAGAACUCACUAUCACGAGAACAGCAAGGGGGAAUUCUGCGCCCUGAUCCAGUCACCUCCCACCAGGCUCCUCCUCCAACAGUGGGGAUUACAAUUCGACAUGAGAUUUGAGUGGGGACACAGAUCCAAACCAUAUCAGUGUCAUUAAAAAAAUAGUUGCCCUGCUAACUUUUUUAAUCCCCUGUAACUCUAAAUAAAAUAAUGAUGUGAACAUAACA
rnacentral:lncRNA from 1 species